rnacentral:rRNA from 1 species
AGGUGGCGACAGCGGCGGGGUUCCACCUCUUCCCAUUCCGAACAGAGAAGUUAAGCCCGCUUGCGCCGAUGGUACUGCAAUGCAAUGCGGGAGAGUAGGUAACCGCCU